GCAGGGAAGCCACGCUUAUGACUGCUUUAGACAGACAAAGCCUUCAGCUCUUUUAAAAAAAGGAAAAGCCAAAAAGCAAAGACGGAAAAAAAAAAUUAAAUUCAUUUUCUUACCAGCACGUUGCAGCACCAACUCGCUUACAGGAAUGUUGCCUUUAUAGGUUUUUCUUUUAAUUAUCCUGGAAGCAGGGAGACCAAAAAAACAAAAAAGAAAAAAAAAAAAAAGGCAAAGAAGAAGCAGGGUGUUUAAAUUAGCGUGCUGGAAUCUUUUCAGUUUGUCGCAGAGUAGAAAAAUAAAAAAGAAAAAAAAAAGGCUCAGUAAUUUAAAUUUGCUCUCAGUUCAGGCUGCAUCGUCGGGUCCCACCCCUUCUUCCUGCUGGGUGUUCACUACCUGCGAGGCUGAACUGACAGCUACUGUGCAAACAACAAAAAAAAAAGGCAACAGCGUGCUGGGACCAUUCCGUCUGCUGUUUGGGUCUCACUUGUCCUGACAACUAAAAAUCAUCAGUGGAAAGAUGGAGGCGUUAUGGACUAUUUUGGUUUAGAAGCAAUCACAAGCCUGGCUGUGGAAUGGAUUAUCUGCAUGUUUGCCUCUUGCUCUGAAGCAUUGCUUUUAUAAUGAUGAUGGGAUUAUCUACAUAGAAAAUUAAAGAAAAUCUACAUACAAAUGGUUAGAGCUAUUGGGAGAUCAGUGAUCCAAAAAUAAAUAUGCAAAAAUCAAGAGUGUUCUUGUACCUCAGCAAUAAACAUAAAGCGUAGUAGAAAACAAAACUCUAUAUACGAGGAACAAAAUUCUAAAGCCUUGAGGAAUAAGUCUAACAAAAGAUGUGCAAGAUUUUCUUGGAUCAAAUUAUAAAAUUUUAUUGAAAUGUAUAACAUAGGAUAUGGUUAUAUGAAUUACACAAUAUUAGAGAGAGCCAAUUUCCCUCAAAUUAAUCUAUAAAUGCACAGCAAUUCCAAUCAAAAUCUCAUACAUCAGAAUCCAAGGAGUCUGUAUCCAAAAUCCAUGGCUUGCCCACUACACCAAACCUCCUAUCUAAGAGAGAAUUCAAUUUCAGUAUCUUUCAUUUUAUCACAUUUAACAAAUUAACUUGGAAAACCAUGUGAUCCUGUCGAGAGAUGAAGCAAAAUGACCGAGAUUGGCUAUUUAAAAACUCAUAUAAUAUUAUAAUAAAAUAUGAGAUUAUCACUCAAAAUCACUAAAACUUGCCCAUAUUUCUCCCUUCCCAGCUGCAGUACUCUGGGCCAAAACCAGGCUGUAUCAUAUGCGUGGAAUUGUAAACUGCCCCCAAGGACAGUCACAGAGCCUCCUUUCAUCUCUCAAAAUUUCCCUCCUCUCUAGAAUUUUACUUUCUUUACUUCUUAUUGCUUCCAAAGGUCUAUGAAGCAUUUAAAGAAUUUAUUUGUAUAAUAUAUCUGGCUUUUCACAUUACUCUUAAUGAAAUGUUGGCAUUCUGUGAGCUACUCCAUCUCAUCCCUCCCAAAAUAUAUUAUUUCUGUUUGUUUCUGAGAACUAUAAAAAUGAUGCCAUGUGGUAUUUAUUCUUCUGAAAUUUGCUGUUUCACUUAUGUUAGAUUUCUAUUAAGUAUGUUGAUUUUAUAGCUGCAGAUAAUGUGUCUUCACUGAUGUAUAAUAUUCUAUGUUGAAUAAAACAUUAA